CAGUAUUCGCCCAUUUCAUUCUAAUAUCAGUUCGGAUUCGAUCUUACCUCAUCAUAAGUUUUUAAUUUGUGCAAUAAGUACCUACAUACCUUACACAUAGUAACUGUGAUUGACAAUUUUUACAUCAUGGAAGUGAUAAGAGAUUUGAAAAAAAUGGUGCUCCAAAUAUUCGGAAUUGAGAAUAUGUUCGGGUUCGAAACAAUUUUAGCUAAUCAGCUUUACUUAUUCUAUUGCAUGUCGGGUAAUAUGUAUUACACGGAUAAAAUACACCGGAAAACAAAAAUCGUGUGGUUCUGCAGCAUUUACACGGUAUUUAUACAGAUCACAUUUUCUGUAAUAUCAUAUCUAAUCUAUGGUAGGAAGACUGGGGAUAUUCUGCUACUUAUUUACACUGGGUUUAUGAGCAUUCUGGGAGUAACCGAAUUAUUUGUGAAACAAGCAAUCCUAUUUUCAUACAGAAAUGAAAUCGAACGAAUGAUUUUGAUGGUUGAUCGAAUACUGAUGAAGAAAACAAGAAAAUAUAAAAACGAGCUCGAUAUAAAUCAAAUACUGGUGAAUUUUGUGAUAGUAUAUUGGAUAGCACUUAUACCAUACGUAUCAAUUACUGCCCUGGACAUGCUAUUAUUUUAUGAGGAAGAAAAUGUACAGAAUUACAUAUAUUAUUUGGUACCACUUUCCGGACUCGAACACUACGGAUCAUUGAAGCUGUACUCAUUUCUUAUGUUUGCGUCCAUUUGGCAAGGAACCAGUUGUUUUGUGGUAUUCACAGGUACUCGAAUUUUACUAUUACCUUGGGUCGUUGUUUGUCAUAAUGAGGCUCAACGCAUCAUCGGCGAAUUGAAUUCAUUAAGCACAGAUGUUGAUAUAAAUAUUGAUAACUACAAAAGUAUGGAACCGAAGUUCAAAAAUGUCUUGAAAAAAUGCAUACAAGAUAUAAAUAAUCUCAGAAGACUGAUUUCAACUUUUCGAGGCUAUUUAGAAUCCACAGCUGGUAUCAUACUGCCUGUUAUACUGUAUGUUGAAGUUGCCCACGCUUUGGUUUUUGUGUCCCCGGAUACUCCAUUCAUGGUGAGAGUGAGAGAACUCUCUGUCUUUAUAUCAUCAAUUCAAGAAAUUUACCUCAUCUGUUGGGUGGGAGCCACACUUGAAGAAAUGACAUCAGAUUUAUCCUUUGCUGUGUAUUCUACACCUUGGUAUUGGUUCAAAAACAUUCGGAAGGAUGUUUACAUACUUCUAUGUGAGACGCAAGCACCAAUGAGUCCAGUUGCCCUCAGUGUUUAUCCGUUGACACUGGCAACAUUUCUUCGAUUUUGCAACGUUAUUAAUUCAUCAGUGAAUCUUUUUCGAUCGUAUGCGCAUUAAGCUAAGACCCUGUAUACUAAUCUGGUUCAAUCACAUAUGAAAUCAAAAGUUUGUUAUGUAAUAUUUCAUCACUAAAUUCACCUUUGCAUAGAUAGGUAUUUAUUAAAGGUAGGUACUUAUUUGUAAUUUAAUCAAAUUCAAUCACAUGAUUAUAUGUACACAGGUAAUUUUUCAUAAAUUUAUAAAUAAUAUGAAUAUUGAAUCAUUUCAUUUCAACACUAACCAUUAAACAGUUGCCAUUUCGAAUUCGAAGCGUAUAAAUUGUUGAAU